GUUUUAUCAGUUAGUGAAUAAAUAUUUAGUUUAGCAGUUAUUGAACAAUUUUAGUAGUUAUUAAACCUUUGUAGCAGUUUCCGACUUAAAUUUAACUUAAAUUAAAUUAAAUUUAUGUCACGUCUGGUGCUGUUAGCUCCUCUGUCCCUUCCACACCCAGCUCUAACGGAGGUUCUCAGGUUAACAACUACACUACCCAGAAUGCACCACCCGCUGACAUCACGCACUCACCUGAUCACGUGACACCUCACCUGCUUCCACCAGGAAGCCCCGAAUACUGAUUACUGGCACUAUAAAGGUGCACGCCAAACAGACUUCAUCGCCGCGUAUUGUAGGUUAUCCUCGUACAAAGCGUUACUUAUCUCUUGUCUCAUUUACUUUGUGUAUGACCUUGCUUUUUGUUUCUCGACGCCGAUUUUUGCCUCUGCCUUUGAUAUUGGAUUGUUUGUGUAUGACCUGGACUGUGCUUUCACCACCGCCUCUUGGAUUAUCUCUGAUACUGGAUUGCUUGUGUAUGAACUCUGGACUGUCUCUCGUUUAUGGUAUGGUUUUGUCUGCAUUGCUCUGUCUACUGGUAAUUACCCCUGUUUCUGUAUCGACCCUGAUUACAUCUGUUUAUUAUUAUAAUAAACAUACUUUGUUUUUAUCAGUA